AGAAUCAACGCUGGCGGCGUGCCUAACACAUGCAAGUCGAACGAGAAAGUGGGAGCAAUCCCACGAGUAAAGUGGCGCACAGGUGAGUAACACGUGACUAACCUACCCUUGAGUGGGGGAUAACCUAGGGAAACCUGGGCUAAUACCGCAUAAUACCUACGGGUCAAAGGAGCAAUUCGCUUUAGGAGGGGGUCGCGGCAGAUUAGUUAGUUGGCGGGGUAAUGGCCCACCAAGACAGUGAUCUGUA
rnacentral:rRNA from 1 species